rnacentral:lncRNA from 1 species
CGUGGGGCUUGAACUCAUGAAUUAUGACAUCAUGACCUGAGCUGAAGCUGGGCACCUAACUGCCACCCAGGCUCCCUGUAGGUUGGCACAUUCUAAAAGGAAAUGCUAGACCCCCUAGCUAUGGAGGGCAUGCAAAGCUUCCAAGAUUGAAGCAAGCCUGUCUAGAGGAACGAGAGACAUUUGCAACCGAGUGCCUGCUCGUCCAGCUCACUCCGGGUGCCACGACCUUGUCGCAGCCUAUUCGCAGUCCAGAGAAACUGAAGGAAACUGAUUGCAUUAGCUCAGUCCAGCACCUUACAAUUUUUGCAACUGGUCAAAAGAAAGAGGGCUACCAUGCAGGAUGAUGCUCAGCUGUGGAUAAUAUCAACAACAAUGGGAUGAACAAUUUUGAUGAAUGCAAACUGAAAGAAAAUGCAGCAUAUGAAAUUCACAUUUUGGUAUAUUUUUAUUUGCUGAGUCUUUUCAGCUUUAAUAAACACAUGUCAAGAUAUACCUACUAAAUAUCC